rnacentral:lncRNA from 1 species
GGUUAAUAGACCUGUGCGGGAUUGACUGCAGCAAAAAGGUGGUUUCGUACCCUUCUGCUACUGCUAGAAAAUGUUGUUUCCUCUUUGUUAUUCAUCAGUGUGAGUUGUUCCUCCCAGAGCAGUAAGGGCUGGGGAGGAAAUGGAGACUAGGGCAUCCUCAGGGCUGUCAGAAACAGAAUUUGCUCACCUUUCAGUGCUGUGUGUUUGUGGAAGGGAGCCGUGUCUUCAGCCAGCCCUCAGAGCCCGUGCACGAUACAGGCAAGAACUGAGAUAACUCGUUAUCAUCUGCUCCUUGGUGCUCGCUUUGCUUGUACCUCCCAGCACAACAGCAAAAGCUAAACCUCAAAAUAAGCAGCUGUACGGAUAGUUUGUUUUUGUGCUUUUUCCCUCUGGGCAUCCUCAGGGAUCCCUUUUCCUCCACUGCUUCUGAAACCUGUAUCUGCGGGGCGUUUAGCAUUGCUCACGGUGCAGUUGCUUCCUGGGGCUGUGCGCAGCCAAGCCCUGUGGCUCAGCUCCUCGCCUGGCACCUGCUGCAGGCCACCAGCAUUUGGCCCUACAGAGCAGGUCCUGCACGUGAGACCCAUGUUUUCGCAGCACCUGACUGCAUGUGCCAGAGCCGGUGGGACAAAUAUUUAGUUUAUUUGGCUAGUGAUGUUUGAAGUGAUGUAAUUAUGGCACACCGGUUCUGCAUGUGGAUUCGCAGCUCAGCAGAUCCAUGCACAUCACCUGCCCUUCAUCUGGGAGAGAAGAGGGGCGAGCCACGGCCACUUCGGCAGCUGGAGAUAACAGCCUCACCAGAGCUCACUCCUGAUGGGGAAACACAUCUCUUCCCCGCUCACCUUCUGUCUCAAAUGCUUGAGGCUGUUGCCAUUUUGAGCUUUUCUAAACCCUUUCUGCAGCAACGACGAAACUCAGAUGAAGAAAGUUUUUCAGCUUUGGAGAGUUACGGUGUUUCAGUUGCCCUUUUCAGAAGUGAGAUUGCCAAAGGGAACUGCCAGACAAAGCAAAGAAAAUGAAGAUUUCUGUCUUGGGAAUUGAACCUUCAGUGUCUUCUUGUGUAAG